AAGUAAAAGUCGUAACAAGGUUUCCGUAGGUGAACCUGCGGAAGGAUCAUUAUCGUACAAUGGAGGUGCUGGGGUUGUCGCUGACUUUUGAAAGGGUCGUGCACACCUCGGUGCUCUCGCACAUAAUCCAUCUCACCCCUUUUGUGCAUCACCGCGUGGGGACCCCUUUUGGCUAGUUCUGAGGGGGGUUUUCACGUUUUUACACAGACACCCUUUUAAUGCAAUGUGUAGAAUGUCUUACCUUUUGCGAUCACACGCAAUCAAUACAACUUUCGAAUUGCAGAAUUCAGUGAAUCAUCGAAUCUUUGAACGCACCUUGCGCCCUUUGGCAUUCCGAGGGGCACACCCGUUUGAGUGUCGUGACAUCCUCAAAACCUUCUUGGUUUCUUGACCGGGAAGGCUUUUGGACUUUGGAGGCUUUUGCUGGCCUUCCUUUGUUGGAGCCAGCUCCUCUGAAAUGAAUUAGUGGGGUCUGCUUUGCCGAUCCUUGACGUGAUAAGAUGUUUUCUACGUCUUGGGUUUCGCACUGUU
rnacentral:rRNA from 1 species